rnacentral:tRNA from 1 species
AGCCUUAUGGCGAGGGAUAGAACACCUGCCUUCUAAGCAGGUGGUCGGCAGUUCGAAUCUGCCCGGGGUUG